CAGAGACUCUUGACUAUAUACGACGGCAAGCCAAAUUGGAUGACAAGGAUUGCAUGGUUCACAAGUUUCAUAAAACUGCCUCUACCCUACACAAACUUAAGUUUUCCUGUGGACGAAGCAAAGAUGAAUGGGCAAAGAUAAUGGAAGGUGUGACAGAAGAGGACUACAUGAGAAGGAUGGAGGUGGUUUACUGUGCUGCAUGUGACAUUCACAUUCCUGUGGUUUUCAGCUCUGUACAGCAACAUCUUCAUUCACUCACUCACAUCAAGAGCAAAGUUG